GACGAACGCUGGCGGCGUGCUUAACACAUGCAAGUCGAACGGAAAGGCCCUGCUUUUGUGGGGUGCUCGAGUGGCGAACGGGUGAGUAACACGUGAGUAACCUGCCCUUGACUUUGGGAUAACUUCAGGAAACUGGGGCUAAUACCGGAUAGGAGCUCCUGCUGCAUGGUGGGGGUUGGAAAGUUUCGGCGGUUGGGGAUGGACUCGCGGCUUAUCAGCUUGUUGGUGGGGUAGUGGCUUACCAAGGCUUUGACGGGUAGCCGGCCUGAGAGGGUGACCGGCCACAUUGGGACUGAGAGACGGCCCAGACUCGUACGGGAGGCAGAAGUGGGGAAUAUUGCACAAUGGGCGGAAGCCUGAUGCAGCAACGCCGCGUGCGGGAUGACGGCCUUCGGGGUGUAAACCGCUUUCGCCUGUGACGAAGCGUGAGUGACGGUAAUGGGUAAAGAAGCACCGGCUAACUACGUG
rnacentral:rRNA from 1 species